GACGAACGCUGGCGGCAUGCCUAAUACAUGCAAGUCGAGCGAACAGAUGAAGUGCUUGCACUUCUGACGUUAGCGGCGAACGGGUGAGUAACACGUAAGGAAUCUACCUAUAAGCGGGGGAUAACAUUCGGAAACGGGUGCUAAUACCGCAUAAUAUCUUCUUCCGCAUGGAAGAAGAUUGAAAGACGGCUCUGCUGUCACUUAUAGAUGACCUUGCGGUGCAUUAGUUAGUUGGUGGGGUAACGGCCUACCAAGACGAUGAUGCAUAGCCGACCUGAGAGGGGGGUCGGCCACAUUGGGACUGAGACACGGCCCAAACUCCUACGGGAGGCAGCAGUAGGGAAUCUUCCGCAAUGGGCGAAAGCCUGACGGAGCAAUGCCGCGUGAGUGAAGAAGGCCUUCGGGUCGUAAAACUCUGUUAUAAGAGAAGAACAAAUUGUAGAGUAACUGCUACAGUCUUGACGGUAUCUUAUCAGAAAGCCACGGCUAACUAUGUGCCAGCAGCCGCGGUAA
rnacentral:rRNA from 1 species